rnacentral:rRNA from 1 species
UACGUAGGGCGCAAGCGUUGUCCGGAAUUAUUGGGCGUAAAGAGCUCGUAGGCGGUUUGUCGCGUCUGCUGUGAAAACCUAAGGCUCAACCUUGGGCUUGCAGUGGGUACGGGCAGACUAGAGUGCGGUAGGGGUGACUGGAAUUCCUGGUGUAGCGGUGGAAUGCGCAGAUAUCGGGGAAGAACACCCGUGGCUAAGGCGGCUCUCUAGUACGGUACUGACGCUGAUGUGCGAAAGCGUGGGGGAGCAAACAGG